rnacentral:rRNA from 1 species
GACGAACGCUGGCGGCGUGCCUAAUACAUGCAAGUUGAGCGCUGAAGGUUGGUACUUGUACCAACUGGAUGAGCAGCGAACGGGUGAGUAACGCGUGGGGAAUCUGCCUUUGAGCGGGGGACAACAUUUGGAAACGAAUGCUAAUACCGCAUAAAAACUUUAAACACAAGUUUUAAGUUUGAAAGAUGCAAUUGCAUCACUCAAAGAUGAUCCCGCGUUGUAUUAGCUAGUUGGUGAGGUAAAGGCUCACCAAGGCGAUGAUACAUAGCCGACCUGAGAGGGUGAUCGGCCACAUUGGGACUGAGACACGGCCCAAACUCCUACGGGAGGCAGCAGUAGGGAAUCUUCGGCCAUGGACGAAAGUCUGACCGAGCAACGCCGCGUGAGUGAAGAAGGGUUUCGGAUCGUAAAACUCUGUUGGUAGAGAAGAAAGUUGGUGAGAGUGGAAAGCUCAUCAAGUGACGGUAACUACCCAGAAAGGGACGGCUAACUACGUG